GCACCCGUAGCUCAAUGGAUAGAGCGUCCCGCUCCGGCCGGGAAGGUUGAAGGUUCAAAUCCUUUCGGGUGCA
rnacentral:tRNA from 1 species